rnacentral:lncRNA from 1 species
GAAACACUGUGUGACCCUGAUUUAGCCCACUGCAGUAAAAUUUAAAGCAAACUCCACUCAAAAACUAUCUUUUGGUAUAUUUUUUUAACUUGACUGACAUGCAAAACAUUUUGGGACCGUAUCAACAGUGGACUAAUGGGAAAAAAUACCAAAAGAUUGUUUUUGAGUGGAGAUUCCUUUUAAGAAUGAUGACAUUAAGAGGGAGGCAGAUAGAGCAAGAAAUAGGGUGGGAGAGAGAGAGAGAAAAAGAGAGAGAAAGAGAGUGAGAAAGAGAGAAAGAGAAAAAGAGAGAGGUACUGUUUAGGGAGGUAGAGAGAGAGAGAGGUACUGUAUAGGGAGGUAGAGAGAGAGAGAAAGAGAGAUGUACUGUAUAGAGAGGUAGAUAGAGAGAGAAAGAGAGAAGAACGGUUUAGAGAGAGAGAGAAUGAGAGAGAGUUACUGUAUAGGGAGGUAGAGAGAGAGAGAGAGAGAGAGAGAGAGAGAGAGGUACUGUAUGGGGAGGUAGAGAGAGAGAGGUACAGUAUGGAGAGGUAGAGAGAGAGAGAGAGAGAAAGAGAUGUACAGAAUAGAGGUAGAGAGAGAGGUACUGUAUAGGGAGAGAGAGAGAGAGAUUUGGCAUGAGGGUCUGCUAUACAAAUUGAUGGAAAGUGGUGUUGGGGGAAAAACAUACGACUUUAUAAAAUCCAUGUGCACAAACAACAAGUGUGCAGUUAAAAUAGGCAAAAAACACACACAUUUGUUCCCACAGGGCUGUGGGGUGAGACAG